UAUAAAACGUUUUUAACACACUUUAUUCCGUUGAGAUAAAUAUUUGAUUGUUAAAAAAACGGCAAUUUUAAAUAAACUAAAAUUCGAUGAGAUUUCCUUUCGAUGUUUUAAUGUCACGUGCGAUGACCUGCAGCUGUCAGUUGGAGCGAACCAGCGGGCGUCACUGUGUGCAGCACUCACGCGAAACAGAACGUUUCAUGAGAAUAAUAAUAAUGGCGGCGCGUUGAGUGGUACCUCGCGACUUGGCAAGCGGCACUAGGAAGUGAAAAUACCGUAAUUUCUACCAGUUUCACCUACCCGACAGCCAUCGUAGGCCAACCGUGCGCGAACCGGAACUGUCCAGCGUGUUGGCAGCGUGUUUUCAGCGUUCCUACCAGCGAGCAGCGACCAGCGUUCCCGUUUCCGCGUUCGGUGCCGAAUGAUUGGUCGCGAAGGAUCCGGACUCGCUCGCCGUCGACCGUGAUGAUGCUGGACUUUUUCUGUGUGUGAGCAUUGCCAAAUCUCGAAAGAGCUGAUCGGCCGCGCGGAAAGAAAGACUGGAGGACGCACUAGAUUGCAAUCUAGUGCAAUAGUGGUGUGUGGCAAGGGCAAAGCACGUGAAGAUGCACAUUUUCGCAGUGUGUGAAAUGUGAAGUGGUGAAACGCAAGGAGAGAGAGAGAGGGUCUACGCCGUGCAGCCCCGAACGAGUAGCGCAAGUGUGUGUGUGUGUGUAUGUGUGUGGGGGGAGAAUUGUUUCCGUUUAAGUUUUCUUUUCUCCCUUUUUCCCUGUCGUGUUUUUGUUUGAAAGCGAACCGUCUCGCGUCUUGCCGCCGCUUGCCUCCGUGGAAGGGUUGCCCGUACAGCCGACCGGGGGCCGUACCACCAGCCGUGUAAAGCCGUUUGUUUUCAUGCGCGUCUCCCACUGCAUCCCCUCGUUGCGCGAGCUGCCGUAGCAUUUUCGCCUGGUGUGUGCUUUCCAUCCAUCCAGUUGUUGCUUUUUCCCAGAGCAAACGCGGUUUGUGGACCAUAAACGCCCCCUCGUUCGCGUUGCCGUCUUGCUGCGUGCAUUUACGCUGUACCGCGCCUACAAACUCAACUGCCCCGCAGCAGGUACACCAUCCACCGACGACGACGACCCCUUUCAGCACCCGUGUAGCUGUGUAUGACCCCGAAUUUUCUUUCACCCUCAUACACACACAAACACAAACACACCCUGGAACCGGAGCUGUCAUUGGGGUGUUUCUUUUUGCGCUGGCUGGAGUGUUGGCUGGUGAAAAAGAAGCUGACUUUUCAUUUUCCGUUCGACGUGGUGUUUGCGACCUACGGAACUACCGAAAAAGAAAAACGCAUCAUCUUCUGCGACGGCCGUAACAUUUAGUGAGAAAGACUGCUGCUUUGAACAUCCCCGAAGCCCGUAUGUUGACCCGGAAGCAAAACGCUGACCAUCCGGGUGCGCUGAAAUCGGAGGAAUGUGAAGAAACUGCUGCUGCUGCCUAACUGUUGUAGAGUGGAGUUUUGGCCAACUCCGCAGCGCAUCGAAAAAGUGUGCAAUUGAAGGAAUAGUAACACAUUUUACACUUCUUAGUGGUGUUGGUUUCGCAAGGAAACGUUUUUUUUAAGUUGUCCAGACUGGCAUGGAGUGAUGCUAUCUGCUUUCAAUGACAGAACUACUUCUUGUUGAUACUUUGAUGAAGUGAUAUCAACGGACGUUCGUGUGCUGCAUGAAGCCGAUACAAUUCUGACAACCUAACUGAGGCUCGCCUGCCAAGGGCCGGAAACGGUGACCACAAAUCAGUGAAUUAGUUUUCCAUUGUCUUAACAUAACAUUAAAAGAGGCUGCCCUAAGCAAGCGUCGUGCAAGAUGUGGAACUCCGAGCGGUCCCAGUCCAACGGUGGCGGCGGAUCCGGUUCCGCCACCAAGACGCUCGGCAUGACGUCAGCAAUCAGUACGGCUGAGCCAAAGCCGGAGGAUAUACAGAAAACAAAGGAAUUGGAAAAAAGUUUAGAACCAUUUAAUGUGUUUGAGGCCGAGGAGGAACUGAACCAUCGGAUGGAAAUUCUCGCCAAGCUGAACACGCUCGUCAAGCAGUGGGUGCGGGAUGUAUCGAUUUCAAAGAACAUGCCAGAAGCGAUGGCCGAAAAGCUGGGCGGCAAAAUCUACACCUUCGGUUCGUACCGGCUCGGGGUGCACCACAAAGGGGCCGACAUUGAUGCCCUGUGCGUGGCACCGCGCAAUAUAGAGCGGGCCGAUUACUUCGGUUCGUUUUUCGAGCUGUUGAAGCAGCAACCGGAAGUCACCGAGUGUAGGGCGGUAGAGGAAGCGUUCGUACCUGUUAUAAAGAUGAAUUUCGAUGGCAUCGAGAUCGAUUUGCUGUUUGCCCGGCUAGCGCUGAAGGAAAUUCCCGACAAUUUCGACCUGCGCGAUGACAUGCUGCUGAAGAACCUGGAUCAAAAGUCCGUCCGCAGCCUGAACGGUUGCCGAGUGACGGACGAAAUCCUGCGGCUGGUACCUAACAUCGACAACUUUCGCCUGGCGCUGCGAACAAUUAAGCUGUGGGCAAAGCGACAUGGAAUAUACUCCAACUCGCUCGGUUACUUUGGAGGUGUCUCCUGGGCAAUGCUGGUCGCUAGAACGUGCCAGCUCUAUCCGAAUGCAGUGGCAGCAACGUUGGUGCAUAAGUUUUUCCUCGUCUUCUCCCGUUGGAAGUGGCCCCAACCGGUUCUGCUCAAACAGCCCGACAACGUGAACCUAGGAUUCCAGGUUUGGGAUCCGCGAGUAAAUGUGCAGGACCGGUUCCACCUGAUGCCGAUCAUAACGCCCGCGUAUCCGCAGCAAAAUUCCACAUUCAACGUGUCCAGCUCCACGCGCAAGGUGAUGCUGAUGGAGUUCAACCGUGGCAUGCAGAUAACGGACGAUAUUAUGAUGGGCAAGCAGAUGUGGGAGAAGCUGUUCGAGGCACCGAGUUUCUUUUACCGGUAUCGUCAUUUUAUCGUAUUGCUAGUCACCUCCAGCAAUGCAGAUGAUCAUUUGGAGUGGUGCGGUCUGGUGGAGUCGAAAAUACGUUACCUCAUCCAGAACCUUGAGCGCAACCAGCACAUCAAUCUUGCGCACGUGAACCCAAAGUGCUACGAGCAGCACGAACAAAACUCGGCCACCACACUGAACGGGGCGGACGGUAAACCGACCCCAUUCUGUUCGCUCUGGUUCAUCGGGCUGGAGUUUGAACGCUCCGAGAACCUGAACGUCGAUCUGACCGAGAGCAUACAAAGCUUCACCGAUUCCGUACACAAGCACGCGGUCCACAUCAAGCUGCUGAAGGAUGGUAUGAAGAUCGAGGCUAGGCAUGUGAGACGGAAGCAGCUUACCCAGUACCUCGAUCCCAAUCUGCUGAAGCGCGAACGAAAGAUCUCCGACAGCUACACACAGUCCAGCAGCAGCAGCGGCGGCACGGCCAGUGCCAGUGGCAAUUCCAACGGUUCGGCGUCACCAGCGGAUGCUGGUUCACGUAAACGAAAAUCAAGCGAUCUGGCUAGCUCUUUGACCAGUCCCGUCGUUGCAUCGCCGGCGGGCAGCAAUGGCAGCGCGAGUAAAAAGCGACGCAACGAUUCCUUCGAUGGUGCCUCUAACAGCAGCUUCUGUAGCACGACGUCGACGACGCCCGGACAAACCACCGAAACGCAAAGCAUGGAAGGGAACGAAACGACCCCUACCACCACCACAGCCGUGUCCAACACUGCCACCGUCCCGGGCGACACCGGUACACUGUCCACCUCCUCCGCCGCAUCCUCUUCGCCGGCGAACGGCGAAAGGGACGAAAGUGCUGCCCCUUCGAGCUCUGCCGAGGAGCCACCGUCCUGUGCCGAGGGCGGCAUGCUCGAUGACGAGAGCUGCUCGUACGAUCCGGCGACCGCGGCGGCCUCCAACCCCAACGGCAAUCCACAUAACAGCACCAACAACAGCAACAGCGGUAGCGGUAGUAACGACAGUAGUAACGGUAACAGUUCGGCACCGACUGCCACCGCAGCCGAGGUCGCCUGCUCUUGACUGACUCAUCGCCAAGCGAUGUUCCGCAAUGGAGAACCGCCGUCCCCUGCCGCUGGGGGGCGGUCUUCGAUUACUGAUGCUGGUGAUGUUAGUAGUAAGGAUCAGACAAAGGGAAGCGUCGCCGUACCAGCUACCGCCGUUGCUGCUGCUGUAGUUGCUUAACCGAAGGCGGAGAGCCAAGGCGGUGGUGCUGCUGGUGGAGAUGUGGAUGGUGCAAACGACCAUCGAGAGUAGAACUAGAUGAAGAUAAUUUAGACACGCAGAGGGCCGGCGGCCGUCGGGAAGGUGCGAACUGUAACAGCAAACGACUGACAAAAACUUUACAUGGUUGAAUAAUAUGGAAGGGAUGCAAGUUAGAUCUAAAACCCAAGGAAAAAAUAAUAAUCAUUUGUAAAUAGCAUUCAAAGGAUCGUUAGAAGGAGAACAUAGAAUGGAUAUUUCUAUCGAAUAUGACGGACACACACAACACCGGCCGACGGGAAGGGAAUGGAUCGUUGCUGUCAGUUAAUGUGUAUGAUAUGAAGGUAAGAUAGCUACAUUUCGUCAUCUCCCUCAUUCCAUCCAUACCGGAUGCAACAAUGCUAGCGUGCGCAAGUGUAAAGAAUAAGUAGAAGUGCGUGAGAAAAAAACAAACUAUUAAAACAGAUAAGAAGCGGCACACAGCGUCUGCUACAUUAGUACCCGGUAGACUACAGACUGGUGUUUCCCAUUAGAUACACAUAAGAAUCUGCUAACCCUCCCCCACGUACGUUGGAUUGGAUUGGCAUGUAGGAUGUGGGUGCAACUAGGCACAGAAAGAGCAUGGCUGUUGGAUAGAAUAGCAACGGUACGCAAGCAAGGGUUAAUAUUUAACUUUGUGCACAGUUUAGAUCAUUGUAAAAGUGUGGCUCUAUGACAAAGUAAUGCAUGUAAGGAUUGUACAUAGUAUUCACCGAUGAGGUGACAAAUGGUAGGCAAACUAAAGCUGGCCCUGGCGCUGCAAGAACGGAAGGGACGAAAGCAACAUCUAAACGGUAAAGGAAAGAGGACGAUAUCGACCUGAACAGUAAAAAAAUGCCAGAAGAGGAGGAAAUAGAAUUAUAUGUUUUGCAGCUGCAGCACGGAUGCUGAAACAGGCAGAGAGAAAGAACCGACAGCAAAGUGGAGGAGUAAGCAUUUACUCAGGCAGCAAUAUUCCUAUAGACUUACUAAUUAAUUCUUCAAGAUGUUGUUUUUUGGCCUCAAAAACUGCCUCUACACAGGGGUUUUAGGAAUGGAACGGCUUUACUCUCGGCUUACUUGGGCUUUUCGUUGAUGCUGCUCAGUUCCUUCGUGUUCAUUCACGUAGCAAAUUAUUCCUUCACUAAAAUCUUUCAGUCUUUUGGGUUUAAUUUUCUUUUUUUUAAGUUUAUAGAUUGCACUAAUUAGGAAUUUUUAAAAAUUCUAUUACUUUCAUCAUUGAUUCAGUUUGGUAGCUUAUUUGUUCUGCCCUAAAGUUUGCUUGAUGGGAGGAACGUUCAAGGUUUAAUUAGUGAGCAGCUCGAUCUUAACGCAAUGAAUGUGCAAGCAUUUAUUGAGAAAAGUGAUAAGGGCUUACGAACGAAGAAUUCACAGACAAACACGAGGAGCGCAAGCAACAGAAGAGAAUUAAAAUGUUUUGAGAUGGAUUUGCACUUCGGCGAACUAUCGCCGUGCAAAGCCCUUCCAUGCCUGUUUGAGGUGAAACCGUAAAGAAAUCUGACACAGUAGAUGAUGAUACACUUGAGAAGUAAUGAGAAUUAUAUUAUAUGAAUCGAAUAUUGUUAUUAAAAUGUAAAAGCCCCACCGCAAAGCGCCCCAGCCGGAUGGACAAAGGAUGGAGACGUCUGCAUCUGGCACUGGCACUUGGUGGAGGCGCAUACAAAUGCGCGGUAGGGUGUGGUGCGGAUGUUAUCGUUCAUCCCUCCCAUGAUCGACCCAUCCCCUCAGAUCGAGCCCCGAGCAUCGACACGCUAUAUGAAAGUAUAGAUAUCAAUUAUAUUGCAUCUUUCAAACGAUAUAAACAACAACUUAUGAAACAUUUACUUAAUAUGAACGUAACUGUGUAUGCAAAAGGGGGGAAGCUAGGAAGCGCAACCUUAAGCGGAGGUGUUGCAACGUAGUUACACGGCACAGGUGCAAGCGUGGAGUGGAGCAGUAGAGGAGAUGUUCUCUGGAAGUAGGGACACAUAAUAGUAACAAACAAAAUCAAACAAACAAACAAAUUAUGUCAUCAAUUUUAUUUUAUUAUCGCUAUUUCCGGGUCUACGUACGGACUUGGCGUGGUGUUGUGGAUCGUUGCGUUGGUUUGUCGCUUGCCCGCAAAACCCGAUAAACACAUUACAUUAUAUUUUUCCAAUCGAAUGAAUACAUGUUUAAUGUAAGUUUUUGUUUUCUCCUAUGUUUAGUCUGCCUAUUGUCAAGCUGAACGUGAGAGCUUUAAGGCAAAAUUAUACAAUGCUAACGCUAACGGAUCGCCGCAAAACCACGCGUACAAACGGUUUGGUUUAUGGUACAUUAAUGUUGUUACUUUUUAGCAUAACACUUCCAUAAAGGGAGCUGUUAUACACGACCGUUAGCUUCGUGGAAUGGAAGUUGGUAUAAUAAUAACAACAAAAACAGAAUUAUCCUUUGUUUGUGUCCACAUGCAAAGACAGGACAGGAUGUAUGUGAAAAGAGGAGAAGGUCAUUUAAUGUACUCUACCACCCCAUCUAUGCUUUUCACAACAGACGAUUGGAGGAGGAAACCCGGUGUGGGUGUGUAUGUACCAGAGUAUUGGCGACACAUUAGCGGUUGAAUAAUUUCGAUUCGGUGGCGGCAUCAGGUAAAAAUGUCUCAAACUGGCAAACAUACAGUGGCACGAUACAGUGAAACCUCCCACUUCUCGCACUAGCAAGCAAAUCUCAAGUCGCGUUUGUGGCGAAAUAUUGAUCCUCUGCUUCGAAUCAUGCAACGGGCUGCAACGGGCUGCUGUAGGCGCGCCACACACGCAGUAGAGCAAGCACCAGACACAGUUAUGACUCAGACAGCAUUAUGCUAGCGCGAACAGAUGAGAAAGGAGUAGUAAACACGCGCCCGCCCGACGAAGAAUUCGAACGACAGUACUCUCAAGAGUAGCGCCGAAGGGGGAAAGGGGAAGGAGAGAUGACGGCGAAGACCCCGCGCAAUCAUCGGCAGGAAGAAACAGAGAGAGAGAGCGAGAGAGGAUAAUAGAUUAUUGUGUGGCGCCCAAAGUUGGUUUUUGUGUAACACUCACUGUAUCCCAUACCGAUUUGAGAUAUUUUCAAUAAAGGUACAUUUAACCCUCCCCGUUUCA